rnacentral:rRNA from 1 species
GACGAACGCUGGCGGCGUGCUUAACACAUGCAAGUCGAGCGGAAAGGCCCUUCGGGGUACUCGAGCGGCGAACGGGUGAGUAACACGUGAGUAAUCUGCCCUUGGCUCUGGGAUAACUACCGGAAACGGUGGCUAAUACCGGAUACGACAACCGUCUGCAUGGGCUGGUUGUGGAAAGUUUUUUCGGCCAGGGAUGUGCUCGCGGCCUAUCAGCUUGUUGGUGGGGUAAUGGCCUACCAAGGCUUCGACGGGUAGCCGGCCUGAGAGGGUGACCGGCCACACUGGGACUGAGACACGGCCCAGACUCCUACGGGAGGCAGCAGUGGGGAAUAUUGGACAAUGGGCGGAAGCCUGAUCCAGCAACGCCGCGUGAGGGAUGACGGCCUUCGGGUUGUAAACCUCUUUCAGUACCGACGAAGCGCCGAUGAUGGUGGUGACGGUAGGUACAGAAGAAGCACCGGCCAACUACGUG